GGGGCUGUAGCUUAGUGGUAGAGCACUUGCCUUGCAUGUAUGAGGUGCUGGGUUCAAUCCUCAGCACCACCU
rnacentral:tRNA from 1 species